rnacentral:ncRNA from 1 species
GAGACGGCAAGCAAAUGGGAUUAGAGACCCCAAUAGUCCUAGCAUAAACAAUGAAUACUAGGUGUUGUGCGACUCAAUCCAUGCAGUGAUGUAGCUAACACGUUAAGUAUCC